AGUCACUGACAUUAGAUACCCCCGUAGUCCAGGGUGUAAACGCUGCAGACUUGGUGUUGGAGGCCCUUUGGGGGCAUUCAGUGCCGGAGAGAAGUUGUUAAGUCUGCUACUUGGGAAGUACGGUCGCAAGGCUGAAACUUAAAGGAAUUGGCGGGGAGCACCACAACGGGUGGAGCCUGCGGUUUAAUUGGACUCAACGCCGGAAAUCUCACCGGAUAGGACAGACAUAUGAUAGUCGGGCUGAAGACUCUACUUGAUGAUCUG
rnacentral:rRNA from 1 species